rnacentral:tRNA from 1 species
GCUUCCUUAGCUCAGCGGCAAGAGCCUUCCAAACUACUAGUUAGAAAAGCGUUUGGUUUUAGAAAAUUGAUGCAUCGAUGAGUACAUGUAAAGCGUGCACUGGUUCGAAUCCAGUAGGAGGCACCA